AUAUUGGACAAUGGGCGAAAGCCUGAUCCAGCAAUGCCGCGUGAGUGAUGAAGGCCUUAGGGUUGUAAAGCUCUUUUACCAGGGAUGAUAAUGACAGUACCUGGAGAAUAAGCUCCGGCUAACUUCGUGCCAGCAGCCGCGGUAAUACGAAGGGGGCUAGCGUUGUUCGGAAUUACUGGGCGUAAAGCGCACGUAGGCGGGUUUGUAAGUAGGGGGUGAAAUCCCAGGGCUCAACCCUGGAACUGCCUUCUAAACUGCAAGCCUGGAGGUCAGGAGAGGCGAGUGGAAUACCGAGUGUAGAGGUGAAAUUCGUAGAUAUUCGGUGGAACACCAGUGGCGAAGGCGACUCGCUGGACUGAUACUGACGCUGAGGUGCGAAAGCGUGGGGAGCAAACAGG
rnacentral:rRNA from 1 species